GACGAACGCUGGCGGCGUGCUUAACACAUGCAAGUCGAACGGAAAGGCCCUGCUUUUGUGGGGUGCUCGAGUGGCGAACGGGUGAGUAACACGUGAGUAACCUGCCCUUGACUUUGUGAUAACUUCAGGAAACUGGGGCUAAUACCGGAUAGGAGCUCCUGCUGCAUGGUGGUGGUUGGAAAGUUUCGGCGGUUGGGGAUGGACUCGCGGCUUAUCAGCUUGUUGGUGAGGUAGUGGCUUACCAAGGCUUUGACGGGUAGCCGGCCUGAGAGGGUGACCGGCCACAUUGGGACUGAGAUACGGCCCAGACUCCUACGGGAGGCAGCAGUGGGGAAUAUUGCACAAUGGGCGGAAGCCUGAUGCAGCAACGCCGCGUGCGGGAUGACGGCCUUCGGGUUGUAAACCGCUUUCGCCUGUGACGAAGCGUGAGUGACGGUAAUGGGUAAAGAAGCACCGGCUAACUACGUG
rnacentral:rRNA from 1 species